ACUCAAAUGAAUAGACGGGGGCCCGCACAAGCGGUGGAGCAUGUGGUUUAAUUCGACGCAACGCGAAGAACCUUACCCAGACUUGACAUGCAUUAGACGCGUGUGGAAACACACGUUCCCUUCGGGGCUGGUGCACAGGUGCUGCAUGGCUGUCGUCAGCUCGUGUCGUGAGAUGUUGGGUUAAGUCCCGCAACGAGCGCAACCCUUGUCCUUAGUUGCUAACGGGUAAUGCCGAGCACUCUAAGGAGACUGCCGGUGAUAAACCGGAGGAAGGUGGGGAUGACGUCAAGUCCUCAUGGCCCUUACGUCUGGGGCUACACACGUGCUACAAUGGUCGGUACAAAGGGUUCCGAAACCGCGAGGUGGAGGCAAUCCCAAAAACCCGAUCUCAGUUCGGAUUGCAGUCUGCAACUCGACUGCAUGAAGUCGGAAUCGCUAGUAAUCGCUGAUCAGCAGGCAGCGGUGAAUACGUUCCCGGGCCUUGCACACACCGCCCGU
rnacentral:rRNA from 1 species